CAAAGUGAUUAUAUUAUAACGUUAUUUAUAAUAUCGUGUAUCCACGUGCAGAUCAAAUGAUUAAACAGUCAACGGAGUGAAAGUAAUCGCGAAGUUCAUAGAAGUAGUGGCAUAGACGCACUGACACACUGUACAAGUGUACGUAAUGACUAAUGGUAAAUACUAUACAUAGUUCCGACGGUUAACUAUUGUGAUCGUGCAACGACGGUAUAUCAAAUAAGUAG